UACGUAGGUGGCGAGCGUUGUCCGGAUUUAUUGGGUUUAAAGGGUGCGUAGGCGGCCCUAUAAGUCAGUGGUGAAAUAUCGCAGCUUAACUGUGAGGGUGCCAUUGAUACUGUAGGGCUUGAGUGAAUUUGAGGUAGGCGGAAUUGACGGUGUAGCGGUGAAAUGCUUAGAUAUCGUCAAGAACACCGAUAGUGCAGACAGCUUACCAAGCUUCAACUGACGCUGAGGCACGAAAGUGUGGGGAUCAAACAGG
rnacentral:rRNA from 1 species